AUGAAGAGGAGCUGAGGCAGUUGUUCCUCAUGAAGUUAUCGGGGGUGAAGCAUGGCCUGAUGCAGGGACAGGUCAGAGGGCUUGGAGCUGACUUCCUGCCUGUGCGGGGUCCUGUGACUGCACUCUAUGCGGGCAAGAUGCCAGCUAACGACAGUGAAUGGAAACCUUCUUAAUAAUUUUCGGAAGCUAUCGGCCUCUACAGGCAUGAUCCUUUUCACAGCAGAUAUGUGCAGAGAAUGAAGCAAUAUGAGCAAGAACAUCAUCUGGCAGAAAGAGCGAAGCGCAGGCUGGAGGUGGAGGCGGCGUGACGUCCUUUACCCUUUAUUGUAAAUUCUUUAAAAUAAAGAUGUCUGUCGGUGACAUGAUACAUUCAUCCUGCAUUAAAGGGGUACUCCGAUGGAAAACAUAAAAAAAAAAUUUUUUUAAAUCAACCGG